GGAAACUUGCGUCCACUGCAAGGAGAAAGGGCACUACAAGAAGGAUUGCCCUGUUUUUCUAAAGACCUUCAUGGCUAAGAGAGUUCGACGAUAACUUUGCCAAGAAAUUCAAGAGGAAUUGAAGUUGCGAACGGUGUCCAAGCCGAAGUUGAAGCUGUGGGUGAAGUCUCCUUGGAGCUAGCCGGUGGUUUCAAACUUCUGCUUAGGGAUGUGCUUUUCGUACCUUCAUGUAAUAGGAACUUAAUAAGUGUUUCCUGUUUAGACAAAGACGAUUAUCAAUGUUUCUUUGGACAUGGCAAAUGUGCCAUUUGGUCUCAUAAUGAUUAUGUUGGGGAUGCAUUUCUUCA